GUCGAACGGUAACAGGUAAGUACUUGUACUUAUGCUGACGAGUGGCGGACGGGUGAGUAAUGCUUGGGGAUCUGGCUUAUGGAGGGGGAUAACGACGGGAAACUGUCGCUAAUACCGCGUAGAAUCGGGAGAUGAAAGUGUGGGACCUUCGGGCCACAUGCCAUAGGAUGAACCCAAGUGGGAUUAGGUAGUUGGUGGGGUAAUGGCCUACCAAGCCGACGAUCUCUAGCUGGUCUGAGAGGAUGACCAGCCACACCGGGACUGAGACACGGCCCGGACUCCUACGGGAGGCAGCAGUGGGGAAUAUUGCGCAAUGGGGGCAACCCUGACGCAGCCAUGCCGCGUGAAUGAAGAAGGCCUUCGGGUUGUAAAGUUCUUUCGGUGACGAGGAAGGUUGUUGUGUUAAUAGCGCA
rnacentral:rRNA from 1 species